rnacentral:tRNA from 1 species
GAGGACAUAGCUCAGUGGUAGAGUGUUUGUGCUUAGCAUGCAUAAGGUCCUGGGUUCAAUCCCCAGUACCCCCA